rnacentral:lncRNA from 1 species
UAAUAACUCCUUGGAAACUUGUACUUUUUCUUCCCCUGUCAGAUGUCUGGACUUAAAGGAUCCAGCAGAGGAUUUGGAGGCUCCAGGGUAUGGCUGAGCCCAAGAUGUCAAAGUCUGGGUCAGUGAAUCACAGUAUGGGAGGCCAGUUGCUGAAUGUCUAUACUAAUUGUUACUUCAGCAAGCAAUCAACGACAGUUCUAGGAGUUAACACUUCCUGAGCCAGAACAGACCGAGAGAGACUCCUGGGGAGCUUUGAAAAAAAGAAAUUUAUUUCUCAUGGUUCUGGAAGCUGGGAAGUCCAAGAUCAAGGAAGCAGCAAAUUCAAUGUCUGGCCAGAGUCCCGCCUCCUCAUAGAUUCAUGGAUAUUCUUCUUGCUGUUUUCUCACAUGGUGGAAGAAGCAAGGCAGCUUCUGGGGUCACUUUUAUAAGGGCACUCAUGCAAUUAUGCAGGCUCUGUCUUCAUGUCCAAAUCAUCUCCCAAAAGACCCCAUCUCCUAACAAAUGAAUGCUGGGGUGACACAGACAUUCUGACCACAGCAGGAUUUGAAUCUAGCCUGCUGUAACCCAAAGCCUGUGUUACUAAGAACUUUGCUAUAUGGCAUGGGUCUUUCUGAGCCCUACCUGCCCUACAUCCUCUUCUAUAUCAAAAAUUUCACUUUUUUUUUUCAAAUAUUUUAUUUUUUGUAGAGAUGAGGAGGUCUUGAACUCCUGCCCUCAAAUGAUUCUCCUGCCUCGGCCUCCCAACGUGCUGGGAUUACAGACGUGAGCCACCUUGCCCAGCCAAAAAUUUUCAUUGUUUCUAACCUGGAUUCCUCUUCAAACCCUUCUAGGCAAUGUUUAUCCCACUGCAAGGAUGAGUUGCAUUUGCAACAUUUCUGAAUGUAAUUAUAAGUUAUUUCCAUAAUGGCUGAAUAGUCUGAAAAAAAGUUUUUUUUGCUGUGUGCUAUGUAGGCACAUUGAAUAAUAUUUAAACAAUAAAG